rnacentral:rRNA from 1 species
GAUGAACGCUAGCGGCAGGCCUAAUACAUGCAAGUCGGACGGGAUUCCGGAGCUUGCUUCUGAUGAGAGUGGCGCACGGGUGCGUAACACGUAUGUAACCUACCUUUAUCAGGGGGAUAGCCUCUCGAGAGAGAGAUUAAGCCCGCAUAAAAUCACAGCACAGCAUUGUGUAAUGAUCAAAUAUUUAUAGGAUAAGGAUGGGCAUGCGGAACAUUAGCUAGAUGGCGGGGUAACGGCCCACCAUGGCGACGAUGUUUAGGGCAGCGGAGAGGAGGGCCCCCCACACGGGUACUGAGCCACGGACGAGACACCUACGGGAGGCAGCAGUAAGGAAUACUGGUGAAUGGGCGGAAGCCUGAUCCAGCCAUGCCGCGUGCAGGAAGACGGCCCUACGGGUUGUAAACUGCUGUUAGACGGGAAUAAACCCAGAUACGUGUAUCUGGCUGACGGUACUGUAAGAAGAAGGAUCGGCUAACUCCGUG